AACGUACGCUGGCGGCACGCCUAACACAUGCAAGUCGAACGAAGUAGCAAUACUUAGUGGCAGACGGGUGAGUAACAUGUGGGUAUCUACCCUUUGGCCUGGAAUAACACGAGGAAACUUGUGCUAAUACCGAAUAAGUCUUUACGGAGAAAGCUUUAUGCACCAUUGGAUGAGCCCGCACUUGAUUAGUUUGUUGGUAGGGUAAUGGCCUACCAAGACUAUGAUCAAUAGCUGAUUUGAGAGGAUGAUCAGCCACAUUGGGACUGAGACACGGCCCAAACUCCUACGGGAGGCAGCAGUGGGGAAUCUUGCACAAUGGAGGAAACUCUGAUGCAGCGAUGCCGCGUGAGUGAAGAAGGCCUUUGGGUUGUAAAGCUCUUUCGUCGGGGAAGAAAAUGACUGUACCCGAAUAAGAAGGUCCGGCUAACUUCGUGCCAGCAGCCGCGGUAAUACGAAGGGACCUAGCGUAGUUCGGAAUUACUGGGCUUAAAGAGUUCGUAGGUGGUUGAAAAAGUUGGUGGUGAAAUCCCAGAGCUUAACUCUGGAACUGCCAUCAAAACUUUUCAGCUAGAGUAUGAUAGAGGAAAGCAGAAUUUCUAGUGUAGAGGUGAAAUUCGUAGAUAUUAGAAAGAAUACCAAUUGCGAAGGCAGCUUUCUGGAUCAUUACU
rnacentral:rRNA from 1 species